rnacentral:misc_RNA from 1 species
UCCUGGUCGCAAUCGCGCUGUUGGCGACCGCGCCGGCCGUUCUAUUCCGCCUCCUCGGCCUUCGUCCCAGCCCGGUCGCUGACGCGGCAAUUUUCGGUGUUGCCAUUCUGGCGGCCGGGGUUUUACUGUCUUGGGGCGCCCAAGCCCGAACAGCACAUUUCGCAGGGCCUCAUCCUCGCUGUCGUCGCGCUGGUGACCGUACUGCCGGAAUACGCCGUAGAUCUCUAUUACGCCUACCAGGCCGGGCGUGCGGGCCCGGAAUCGCAGUACGUCCACUAUGCCGCCGCCAACAUGACGGGGGCCAACCGCCUGCUGGUUGGGCUCGCAUGGCCACUGAUGGUCCUUUUGCACUGGAUCAAGGACCGGCAUCGUUCAAUCGACCUCGCCCCCUCAAAUGCUGCCGA